rnacentral:rRNA from 1 species
AGAGCGAACGCUGGCGGCAUGCUUAACACAUGCAAGUCGCACGGGCACUUCGGUGUCAGUGGCGGACGGGUGAGUAACGCGUAGGUAUCUAUCCUUGGGUGGGGGACAACUGUGGGAAACUACAGCUAAUACCGCAUGAUAACUGAGGUUUAAAGGCGCAAGUCGCCUGAGGAGGAGCCUGCGUACGAUUAGCUAGUUGGUGGGGUAAAGGCCUACCAAGGCGACGAUCGUUAGCUGGUCUGAGAGGAUGAUCAGCCACAUUGGGACUGAGACACGGCCCAAACUCCUACGGGAGGCAGCAGUGGGGAAUAUUGGACAAUGGGCGCAAGCCUGAUCCAGCAAUGCCGCGUGUGUGAAGAAGGUCUUCGGAUUGUAAAGCACUUUCGACGGGACGAUGAUGACGGUACCCGUAGAAGAAGCCCGGCUAACUCGUGCCAGCAGCCGC